rnacentral:rRNA from 1 species
GGUAGGGGCGCUUUUAUUGGUCCAAGACCAUUCGCCCGGUCCUCCGGGCGUCUCCUUGAUGAAACCAAAUAACAAAUCAGAUCGCAUGGUCUUUGUACCGGCGACUUAUCUUUCAAAUGCCUGACUUAUCAACUGACGAUGGUAGACUCUGUGUCUACCAUGGCUCCUACGGGUAACGGGGAAUCAGGGUUCGAUUCCGGAGAGGGAGCCUGAGAAACGGCUACCACAUCCAAGGAAGGCAGCAGGCACGCAAAUUACCCACUCCCGGCACGGGGAGGUAGUGACAAAAAAUAACGAUACGGGACUCGAUAUGAGGCCCCGUAAUCGGAAUGAGUACACUUUAAACCCUUAUUCAAAUAUCAAUUGGAGGGAAAGUUCUGGUGCCAGCAGCCGCGGUAAUUCCAGCUCCAAUAGCGUAUAUUAAAGUUGUUGCGGUUAAAAAGCUCGUAGUUGGUUCUGCGUCCCACGCUGUCGGUACACCUUUUGUUGGUGACACUGGCAUGCCGUGGUAUGUCCUGUCGGUGGCGGCCUUUGGUGGGCCCGACCGCUUUGGAUAAAACCUUAGCGUGAAGGUCUACCGGUCGCCGGCUACUAUCCUACCGCGGUGCUCUUCAUUGAGUGUCGAGGUAGGCCGACACGUUUACUUUGAACAAAUUUGAGUGCUUAAAGCAGGCAAAAAUCUCUGCCUGAAUAGUGGUGCAUGGAAUAAUGGAACAGGCCCUUGGUUCUAUUUUGUUGGUCUUCGGAACACAAGGAAAUGAUCAAUGUGGACAGGCGGGGGCAUUCGUAUUGCGGCGUUAGAGGUGAAAUUCUUGGAUCGUCGCAAGACGCACUAGAGCGAAAGCAUUUGCCAAGUAUGUCUUAAUUGAUCAAGAACGAAAGUUAGAGGCUCGAAGGCGAUCAGAUACCGCCCUAGUUCUAACCAUAAACGAUGCCAGCCAGCGAUCCGCCGAUGUUCCUCCGAUGACUCGGCGGGGAGCUUUCUUCGGGAAACCAAAGCUUUUGGGUUCCGGGGGAAGUAUGGUUGCAAAGCUGAAACUUAAAGGAAUUGACGGAAGGGCACCACAAGGAGUGGAGCCUGCGGCUUAAUUUGACUCAACACGGGAAACCUCACCAGGUCAAGACAUUGGAAUGAUUGACAGAUUGAUAGCUCUUUCUUGAUUCAGUGGGUAGUGGUGCAUGGCCGUUCUUAGUUGGUGGAUCGAUUUGUCUGGUUAAUUCCGAUAACGAACGAGACUCUAGCCAAUUAACUAGACGUUUCCGGUAUCGAAGCUACCGGCGAUAUAUAAUCUUCUUAGGGGGACAGGCGGCUCUUAGCCGCACGAGAUUGAGCAAUAACAGGUCUGUGAUGCCCUUAGAUGUCCUGGGCCGCACGCGCGCUACACUGAAGGAAUCAGCCUGUUCGUUCCCUUGGCCGAAAGGCCCGGGUAACCCGCUGAACCUCCUUCGUGCUAGGAAUUGGGGCUUGCAAUUGUUCCCCAUGAACGAGGAAUUCCUAGUAAGCGCGAGUCAUAAGCU